GUCCGGAUGGCGAAAUAGGCAGACGCGCUACAUUCAGGAUGUAGUCCUCGAAAGGGGGUGCAGGUUCAAGUCCUGUUCCGGGCA
rnacentral:tRNA from 1 species